AGUUUCCGAAACCUGCAGGAUGAAUAGAAGCAGGCUUAACUUGUGAGGACCGGUGACACACUCCACACACAUGAGCUCGGGGGAUGGGCGGCUUGGCGACCAAACCAGGCGCAGCCCUCACCGGGAAGAUCCAGCGCCAGGGCCUGGUACCCGUUAACGGCCAGCAGCGCCAGGGUGCCCAGGUCCUCCCAGUUUUUGGAGGUGAAAGCCUGGCCAUGCAGAAGAACCACCUGCAGCCUGAGAAAGGUGGAGAAGCGAGUCGGUACCGAGCGCAUCGUUUUAAAAAUGCAUUUUUAUCCGCUUCAGCGAGCUUUGUUUACCGAAGGGAGACAAUUCAUAAAGAUGACGUCGUGGUUAGUUAUCGUUCAGAGCGCUUCCUCGCGCCGUUCGGUCAGUAAACGUAACCCUGGCAACAAUUCGAUAAAGGGACUCACAGGACAAACAUGUACACAUGGAACUAGGAAUUAAGUGUAGCACGACGAAUGCAUAUGAACAUUAAGUAUUUGAAGGAAGUGGUAAGGCGUCUAGUUGGCAGUUUCACAUGGAUUUCUUUUAUCAAGAUCAUUAUCAUUUUAGCAAAAAUAAUCAGCCAUCAUGUGUAAUAUACACGCAUACAUACAGAGAUGCUGCACAACACUGUUACAGCUUAGAAACGGUAAAGGCAGAAAGCGAAGAUGAGAGAUGCGAAGCCCGAAACCCGGCCUCACCUGGGCAGUAUCUGUCUCCCCGCGGCGUCCACUGGCAGCGCCUCCCUGAAGAAGAGUGGCGGGUCGCCGGGCAGCUGCCCUGUGCGGACGGUCACGUUGACGGCCGGCGGAGGCGCGAGGGAAGACGGGCCGGCGGCAGCCAGCCUCUCCCGCAGCCCGACUCGCUGAACGUCCAGGGACGGCUCCAUGCUGCCCUGGCGGAUUGCGGGCAGCAGCAGGUACAGCAGAAGAGUGGCGAGCAGCACCAGGCCGAGUACUACCAGCCGGUUGCGCAGAAAGUUCAUAGUUAAAAUGCCGCUUAUCUCGUAUAAAAAAUAAAUACAACCGUAGUAAUGGGAGGAAACAAACGGACAAUAUCAGCUUUUGAAGGCGGACGAAUCGUGUUUUUUUUUUUUUUUACGUGAGCAGAUCCAUUGGCGCGCCGCUCGAUGUUAAUUAUCUAACAGCGUCCGAAACUCCGUCGCCAUAACCGGCCAGCCGUCUGCCGCGGCCGCUACUAAUGCCGCCAUGUCGGCCGCGUCGACAAUUAACGCUCUCGGCAGCUACCGCACCCUGCGUUCGCUAAUCCGCCGGACAACGGCGGUGCCCACCCGCAGGGUCAGCCUGCUCAAGCGCGGCGAAGAUCCGGAGCACGUCACCGAGCCGGCGCCCGUCACAGCGCAGCCUGCCGGGAAGCUACGGCGGCGCUAGCGU